rnacentral:pre_miRNA from 1 species
AAACAGCCCCUAUGUUUUGAUUCUUUGGCAGUUUUGGACCCCAAGGCAAAAAAAAAAAUUGACACGUGGCACCUCACUUAGGGUGCCACGUCAGAGUUGACCGAGUCAACAAUGGACUGGGGGUCCAAAACUGCUAAAUAAUCAAAACAUAGGGGGUUAUUU